rnacentral:rRNA from 1 species
AUUGAACGCUAGCGGGAUGCCUUACACAUGCAAGUCGAACGGAGUGGCGAACGGGUGAGUAAUGUAUCGGAACGUGCACGGUAGAGGGGGAUAAAUACGCGAAAGCGAAGCUAAUACAGCAUAAUAGUGGAGCGGCCGAUAUCGGAUUAGGUAGUUGGGGGGGUAACGGCUCAACAAGGCGACGAUCCCUAGAUGGUUUGACAGGACGACCAGCCACACUGUGACUGAGACACGGCCCAGACUCCUACGGGAGGCAGCAGUGGGGAAUUUUGGACAAGGGGGGAACCCCUGAUCCAGCCAUCCCGCGUGUGCGAUGAAGGCCUUCGGGUUGUAAAGCACUUUUGGCAGGAAAGCGGUACCUGCAGAAUAAGCACCGGCUAACUACGUGCCAGCAGCCGCGGUAAUUC